rnacentral:lncRNA from 1 species
GCCCGUGUAAACACAAAAAAAACAAAAACAAAACAAAAAAAUACAAAAAAAAAUAUAAAGCCCAAUACAUGACCCAAAAACCAAACUUAAUAUCCUAGCUCAAUAAGCCCAAUCUCGAAUAGCCCAAAAAGCCCAAAAACUUCAACACUUUCGGGAACCCUAGGUCACCCUCUUGCGCCGCAACAGCCUCGCAACGACCGUACCACCUCCGUACCCUAGCCUAGACCCGUACCCGAGCGCCAACGCACAGCCCCGUGCUCCGUACCUGCAAAAGAAAACAAACGAAAGCAGCAACAAGCCAAUACAAAAGUAGAGGACAAAAAUUGUUGUUUUCUUUAGUUAUUCGGCUAUAAAGCCUUUGAUUUUUGAUUGUAAAAAGAGACUACGAAUAGAUUACACAAACAAAAGAGGAAUCAAAUACAAAGAAGUUGAAUCAUGAGGUUUAGAUAUUGUUGAUCCACCAUGGAAGAGGAUUACAUUGGUUAAAGCCACAUUCAUUUCUUCACAAAUUUUCCCUAUACGAGGCAAGGAUGUUAUCAGGCCAUUCUCAUCAAUUCAUCUUGGCAGUCAUGAAGGGGGUGAGGGUCACUUCAUGUGUCAAUAAUUACAAGAUUAAUAGUCGUCAAAUUUCAAAUUUCAAAUUUUAAAAAAAAAAGAAGAAGAAAGAAAAAGAGAAGCGGUUGCUGACAAGUAAUGUCAAAAAGGAUUAUCUUCAAAUACAUUUGCACAAUGUCAAAAGUUUGCAAUUUGUUCAAGGAUCAGACACCAUAUUACAGUGCAGUAAAGGCAUCCAAAAAGAAAGACAAAAAGUUCAAAAAUAUAAAAAAAAAGAAAAAAAAGGGAAAAGCAAACAAUAGAACAAAAGCCAUAGUGAAAAAUGACCGAGUCUUGUAAAUAUUGGCAUAAAGAAGUUAUCAUUUACCCUCUAUAUUUGUCAAACGUCGGCCAGAACCUUCACCGGGGCAAUACAUUAUUCGAUGGAUUUUGAAAGAAAGAUUUCUUUUGGUCAAGUCUUAGCUGAAGUUGGAUUAGGCAGGAUAGAUUUAACCCUGAUAUGAUCAGUUGAAUUUGGAGAAAUGAGGUUGAAAGCCAUAUGACAUGACCUAAUGAUGUAAGCUUACAUCGAAAAGGUUCUUCUCAGAUGAUUCCACGAGGGGGACCUGGCAUUGAAAAGUUCACUUUUACACAAAAGGACCUCCAAAGAAAGUGAAAGGCCACGGCGAAAACCCUCAAAUGAUGCUUUGAGAUAUUCAAAAAAAAAAAGAAAAGAAAAGAAAGAAAUAAAGAAGAAAAAGAAAAAGAAGAAAAGAAAAGAAAAGGAGAGGCCAAGGCGAAAACUCGCAAAGGGCGCCUUGAGGCCAAAAGGGAUUUUGAGUUGAAAACCCGACAAAACUCACAAAGGGCGCCUUGAGGCCAAAAGGGAUUUUGAGUUGAAAACCCGAAAAGGACGGCUCAAAUUUGAAUCAAGAUGGGGCAUACAGUAGUCUUGCUAUAUCUGAAUUAACAAUAAAAAAGUAUGCUACAUCUUGGGGCAUCGACAAAGUGCCGCGAAUCCCCUAAACACAUAUUGAGAUCAGAAAGGUCCUCAAGAAGUUAGUACAGAGAAGCUCAAGCUGCGAUAUCUGGGGCACCUAAUUUCCAUUUUUCUCAUUUUGAAUUUGUUAUCUUUGAUUGCCUUAUUCUUUUCAAGAUACAUCCCAAUAAAUUUCCUUCUUAUUGCAUCGUUAUCUUUGAUUAACCCAUUCAUGUUGAGUUAAUUGCCUUCUUGUUGCAUUUGCAAUCUUUAAUUAACUUAUUUGCUUCGAGCUGUGCUCUUACCCAAUUUCCUUCUUGUCCAUUGUUUUGAUAUUUUUUGAGCAUGUUGCAUUGAAAUAAAGAUUAAUGGACCAAUAAUACUUUCAUAAAAGAAGGCUUGCAUAUUACUCGAGAGGCUUCUAAAUAGUACAAGAACCUGAAACAAGACUGUUGUUGAGAACCCACCAAACCUAAGGAAUGGAAAUGUUUGAGAAGGAGGAGUCUAAAUUAUGGCUAUCUCUUCGGAUUUUCUAUCAAAGGUAUCGGUUGAAUGAAGAGGCAAGAUAUUUCAUCGGUGAUACAACCUUGACAAAUGACGAGCAAUGUCAACCCAAGUGUAAAAGGGGGAUUGUUAUCAGGAAAAGAAAAAUGAUAUUCCACAUUCACAUGAAUAUCAGACAUGCACACAGAGUUAUUACACCUGAAGGAUGAUCAAAUUGAUCCUAUACCCUGAGUUGCAGUGGGUUGGAUAAGCAAAAACACAAUAAAAUUUCAGUAGGGCAAGCUUGCCGAGCAGAUUGAGAGUGUUUCUUUGGGUUUUCUGUCAAGAAUACCAGCUGAACAAGGUGGCCGCAUAAUACGUCAGUGAUAAUGUCCUGAUGAACGAGCAAUGAUACCUAGGUCUUUUUCAUUUUCAUAUCAUUCAUAACACAUCUAGUUAGAAGCAUUCGAUUCAUUUCAAUCAUAGCAUUCCAAUUAUUUGACACAAACAUCACAUCUAGUUAGGAACAAUUGAUUCAUGUUGAUCAUAGCAUCCUAAUUAUUCGGCAUAAGCAUGGGUCUAUGAGGCUAAAAUUUUAGAUCUUGUUUCCCUGAAAUUGAAGUGAAGCAGAUCGAAGACAGCGAAUCUGAGCUUCCUGAAGUUGCAGUGAAGCAGAGUUAAGCCACCAACCUAGCUCCCUAAAGUUGUAGUGGAGUAGGCUAAAAUUUCAGAUCUUGUUUCCCUGAAGUUACAGUGAAGCAGAUUGAAGACGGCGAAUCUGAGCUUCCUGAAGUUGCAGUGAAGCAGAUUUAAGCCACCAACCUAGCUCCCUAAAGUUGUAGUGGAGUAGGCUAAAAUUUCAGAUCCUGUUUCCCUGAAGUUGCAGUGAAGCAGAUUGAAGACGGCGAAUCUGAGCUUCCUGAAGUUACAGUGAAGCAGAUUUAAGCCACCAACCUAGCUCCCUAAAGUUGUAGUGGAGUAGACUAAAAUUUCAGAUCUUGUUUCCCUGAAGUUGUAGUGAAGCAGAUCGAAGACGGCGAAUCUAAGAUUCCUGAAGUUGCAGUGAAGCAGAUUUAAGCCACCAACCUAGCUCCCUAAAGUUGUAGUGGAGUAAGCUAAAAUUUCAGAUCUUGUUUCCUUGAAGUUGUAGUGAAGCAGAUCGAAGACGGUGAAUCUGAGCUUCCUGAAGUUGCAGUGAAGCAGAUUUAAGCCACCAACCUAGCUCCCUAAAGUUGUAGUGGAGUAGGCUAAAAUUUCAAGAUCUUGUUUCCCUGAAGUUGCAGUGAAACAGAUCGAAGACGGCGAAUCUGAGCUUCCUGAAGUUGCAGUGAAGCAGAUUUAAGCCACCAUCCUAGCUCCCUAAGGUUGUAGUGGAGUAGGCUGAAGAUUAUAGAUCUUGUUUCCCUAAGAUUGCAGUAGGGCAGAUCGAAGACGGCGAAUCUAGGCUUCCUGAUGUUGCAGUGAAGCAGAUUUAAGUAAGUCCUAGCUCUUUAAAGUUGUAGUGGAGUAGGCUGAGGAUUGUAGAUCUCGCCUCCCUAAAGUUGUAGUGAAGCAAAUCAAAGACAAUAAAUCUUGGCUUCCUGAAGAUGCAGCGAAGCAGAUUUAAGCAUCCUAGCUCCCUAAGGUUGUAGUGGAGUAGGCUGAAGAUUAUAGAUCUUGCUUCCCUGAGUUGCAGUAGGGUAGAUCGAAGACGGCGAAUCUAGGCUUCCUGAUGUUGCAGUAAAGUAGAUUUAAGCAAGUCCUAGCUCUCUAAAGUUGUAGUGGAGUAGGCUGAGGAUUGUAGAUCUCGUCUCCCUGAAGUUGUAGUGAGGCAAAUCAAAGACGAAAAAUCUUAGCUUCCUGAAGAUGCAGCGAAGCAGAUUUAAGCAAGUCCUAGCUUCCUAAGGUUGUAGUGAAUUGGGCUAAAGAUUGUAGGUCUUAUCUUCUCAAAGUCGCGAUAGAACAGAUCAAGCUAAUUACAUAAGAAUAGAUUAAAUCAACAAGCCUCAAGUAGCCACAGUGGAAUAGAUCAAAGCAACAGUUCUUACACCUUUAGAAAUGCAAUGGGGCCACUUGAAGAAGAGAAGCACUAAAGAAGUAAAGAUCCUGCAAGACCAGACAAAUUUGGCGUCUCUAUAUUGGCGGAGAGAAGAUCGAAGAUAGUAGAUUUGGCAUCACUGUAUUGGCAGAGAGCAGAUCGAAGAUAGCAGAUUUGGCGUCUCUGUAUUGGCGGAGAGCAGAUCGAAGAUAGCAGAUUUGGCGUCUCUGUAUUGGCAGAGAGCAGAUCGAAGAUAGCAGAUUUAGCGUCUCUGUAUUGGCGGAGAGUAGAUCGAAGAUAGCAGAUUUGGCGGCUCUGUAUUGGCAGAGAGCAGAUCGAAGAUAGCAGAUUUGGCGUCUCUGUAUUGGCGGAGAGCAGAUCGAAGAUAGCAGAUUUGGCGUCUCUGUAUUGGCGGAGAGCAGAUCGAAGAUAGCAGAUUUGGCAUCUCUGCAUUGGCGGAGAGCAGAUCAAAGAUAGCAGAUUUGGCAUCUCUGUAUUGUCAGAGGGCAGAUCGAAGAUAGCAGAAUUGGCAGAGAGCAGAUUGAAAAUAACAGAUUGGUGUUCCUGAGUUUCCAAGAAGCAAGUUGAAGAUAGCCAAUUCGACACUCCUGAAGACAUCAGAAUACCUUUGGGGAAGAUGAGGAUCAAGAUUUUGAGACAUAGCCAGACCGGGCAAAUUUGGUCAUUUUUAUAGUCUUUGCUCUAUUCUCGUUACACGACAAUGAGCAAAGAGGGGCAGCAGUAAUGGGCCAAAUCUGCCCGAGCCCGUGUAAACACAAAACAAACAAAAACAAAACAAAAAAAUAAAAAAAAAUAUUUAAAGCCCAAUACAUGACCCAAAAACCAAACUUAAUAUCCUAGCCCAAUAAGCCCAAUCCCGAAUAGCCCAAAAAGCCCAAAAACUUCAACACUUUAGGGAACCCUAGGUCACCCUCUUACGCUGCAAUAGCCUCGCAACGACCGUACCACCUCCGUACCCUAGCCUAGACCCGUACCCGAGCGCCAAUGCACAGCCCCGUGCUCCGUACCUGUAAAAGAAAACAAACGAAAGCAGCAACAAGCCAAUACAAAAGCAGAGGACAAAAAUUGUUGUUUUCUUUAGUUAUUCGGCUAUAAAGCCUUUGAUUUUCGAUUGUAAAAAGAGACUACGAAUAGAUUACACAAACAAAAGAGGAAUCAAAUACAAAGAAGUUGAAUAUUCUGCAAAGGUUGUUCCCUGUUUUCAUUUUUACGCC